AGCUCGUGUCGUGAGGAUGUUGGGUUAAGUCCCGCAACGAGCGCAACCCUCGUCCUAUGUUGCCAGCGGGUCAUGCCGGGGACUCAUGGGAGACUGCCGGGGUCAACUCGGAGGAAGUGGGAUGACGUCAAAUCAUCAUGCCCCUUAUGUCUUGGGCUUCACGCAUGCUACAAUGGCCGGUACAAAGGGCUGCGAUACCGCGAGGUGGAGCGAAUCCCAGAAAGCCGGUCUCAGUUCGGAUUGGGGUCUGCAACUCGACCCCAUGAAGUCGGAGUCGCUAGUAAUCGCAGAUCAGCAACGCUGCGGUGAAUACGUUCCCGGGCCUU
rnacentral:rRNA from 1 species